rfam:Biomphalaria glabrata isolate BB02 unplaced genomic scaffold LGTN_random_Scaffold11210, whole genome shotgun sequence.
AUGGCUGAGCGUUAAAGCGCUUGGCUUCCGAACCGGGGGGUCCCGGGUUCGAAUCCUGGU